rnacentral:lncRNA from 1 species
CUUUAAUCCCAUUUUCUUGGGCUCACAUAUAUCCUGGGGCAUUGUGAGGUAAGAAUAAGUCAGUCAGGAAUCAAACAAAAUUCAAAGAAAUGGAUAGGCAUCAUGAUAUGGUUUGGCUCUGUGUCCCCACCCAAAUCUCAUCUCAAAUUAUAAUCCCCACAUAUCAAGGGAGGGACCUGUUGGGAGGUGAUUGAAUCAUGGGGUGGUUUCCCCCAGGCUGUUCUUGUGAUAGUGAGGGAGUUCUCACAAUAUCUGGUUGUUUGAUAAGUGUCUGGCAUUUCCCCUGCUUUCUUGCUCUCUCUCCUGCUGCCUUGUGAAGGAGGUAGCUUGCUUACCCUUUGCCUUCCACCAUGAUUGUAAAUUUUGAAGGCCCCCUGGCCAUGCAGAACUUUCAGUGAAUUAAACCUCUUUUCACUAUAAAUUACCCAGUCUUUGGUAUCUUUAUAGCGAUGUUAUAACAGACUAAUAUUAAUACAUAUCACUUCUUUAGGGAAGGCAGCAAACAAGAUGCUAACUGAUGGAGUGAAAUCCCCAGGAGAUGCAGAAGGCAAGUGCAGCUAACUGAGGCCUCAGGGGCAGGAGAUGCCCAUCAGGAUGAGAGCUAUGUCUUUCUCCAGUGAUGACUCUGCUUCUAUGAGGUCACCAGCAGUAGAACCAUAUCUUGCUGGCAUACACUUGGGAUGGCCCCGCCUCUUGGACUUCCAUCUGUCAUCAGGAGAACAUGACCAUCUGGAGUCAGUACAGAUCAUCAAUCCUUCCACAUAUACAAGUUCAUUUUAAAUUUUUAAAAAUAUAAUACAACUGAG